GUCUGCAACUCGACUACAUGAAGCUGGAAUCGCUAGUAAUCGCAGAUCAGAAUGCUGCGGUGAAUACGUCCCCGGGUCUUGUACACACCGCCCGUCACACCAUGGGAGUCGGAAAUGCCCGAAGCCGGUGACCAAACCAAUAAGGAAGGAGCCGUCGAAGGCAGGUCUGAUAACUGGGGUGAAGUCGUAACAAGGUAUC
rnacentral:rRNA from 1 species